ACGUGGGUCCUGCCCAUUGUGUCUGCCUGGCUGGCUCCGGGCUGCUCAGUCCGGCAGGAAGCAGGUGGCCCGAGGUGGGACAUGUGCCCAGCCCCCUCCCCGGCUGGCCGUGGGUCCCCUUCCAAGUGCCACCCCACUGCCAUCCCGCUUCCAGAAAGCAAAGCGUGGCAGCGGCCCCUUAAGCUGCUGGGAGGGAAGCAGAGUGUUGGUCGGGUUCUCCUCGAUCACCCUCCCCUGGGGAUGACAAGAUGGAGAUCCCUGGGCUCUCGGGGGUCUCGGCAUAGGUGGGGACACUGGGGAGCCCAGGCUUCCUCUUCCACGCCCGCUGUUUUCAUGGGCUCAGGAAACUGACCGAAAGCUGGGACUUUGUUUUCAAAGCCCUGCGUCAUUUUUACUAUUUAAACGGCCACUUUGGGCUGCUUUUAGGGAGGUGGUUCUUUUGUCGCUUUUCUCACUCAGGAUGUUGUUUCCAGUAGAUUUCCUCACAGACUCUGUCUGCUGCCUUUGUUUGCCUCUCCGACUGCACAUGGAGAAGUCUUCGAGAAUCCAGGCUGAAUCAGUGAAUUGGACCUGUGGUGCUGUGAGGAGCACAGUUAAAUUUUUCUCUGAUGACAUUUAUUGUUUUCCUUUCUGCUCACAGAGGUCAUCUUGUCCACAUGCUCAUUAUAGCACAUUUGAGAAAUAGAGGAAAUAAACGUAGGUGAUGGAAGAGGAAAGUUGGUAUCACCCACAGUCUCGCGGCCAGAGACCCACCACUAGCGGCCUCCCCAUGUGGUUUGUCUUUCUCUCUUUGUUUCUUUUUUCUGGCUGGGCUCAUACUACACGUAUUGUUAAGGAACCGGCUUUUUACACCCAACACUGACAUUAACAUGGUCCCAGGCCCUUGGAAGUUUUAUAGGCACCACUUUUAAGCCUCUUUUGCUCUCCUUCGGCUCUGCCACCAGCAAAGCAGCAUCAAAGACAGUAGCCAGUGUUCCCGAGGAAAGAGGGACGGGAAAACUGAACAGAUACCAUCAUUUGGGUCUGUGUGGAAAGCCGAGAUGGCUGGGCUGGUGGAUGACUUUUAUUUUCUUCUUUCUCUUCUAUGGUUUGCACGGUUUUCUGGAGCAAAUCCCCGAGAAGAGGCGGAAUGAUGCAGUGAUCAGCAGUGCGGGCUGUGGCAUCCGGCGGCGUGGGUUCCUUGCUGCCGCUUUCCAGCACAAAACCUUGCCUGCGACUCCCUAGAAGUCUUCUCAUUGACCUGACGUUGAGGACGAGCUUUGUGGGAAGACCUGGGGGCUGUUCCAGAGAAGGGGAAUGGAUAGAUGUGCGACACACAGAAAUAAGAGUUAUUCAUCCUAGGAGGGCCACAAGAGGAAUUCAUGGAGAAAGGAACGUUUGUCCCAGGACGACUUGGUAUCUCCUUGGAAGACCAAAACUGCUGACACUAUAAAAAUGGGACAGUUUUUAACUACCAAAUCCGUGGUGGUCAAGACUGUGUGUGGGGUGUGGAACAGGAAGAGAGGCCAACCCCUGACUUUCACUACAGAUCCCUACCACAGAGGAUGUCAGACCGAAUGUUAGAAACCAGGCUGCUGUAUCCAGACUUCAUCUCUUUCUUUUUAACUGUUUAUUUUGAAGUAGUUACAGAUUCCUAGGAAGAUGUGAGGCUAGUAGAGUUGUCCUGUGGACAAUUUCUCCAGCUUCCCUACAAAGGUGACAUCUUAGACAGAAACAGAACAAUGAGAAGGAUAGACAUUGGUACAGUGGUGUCACACAUCGGGCCAUUUUAUCACAUGCCCACAUUUGUGUGACCAGCACCUUAGUCAAGAUCCAGAACUCCUUCCUCAUGAUGAAGAUCUCCCUCCUCCUCCUCCUCCUCCUCCUCCUCCUCCUCCUCCUCCUCCUCCUCCUCCUCAUUCCUAUCCCUUGGCCACCACGAAUCUGUUCUCUACCUCUUUAAUUUUGUCAUUUUGAAAAUGUUAUGUAAAUAGAAGCAUAGACUAUUUACCUUUAACGUAAUUAUUCAUAUAUUAGGGGCUAAGUUGGCCUUUUUAUUUUUUGUUUUCUGUUUGUUCCCUUUGUUUUCUUCUGUUUUUGUUUUUCUGUACUUGAACAUUUUUCAGAAUUCCAUUUUGAUUUUUCUAUAGUAUUUCCAAAUGUAUCUCUUCGUGUAGAUGGUUUAGUUGUUGGUUUAGGUAUUAUGUUAUACGUACAUAAUUUAUAGCAGUCCACCGCUGUUGACAUUUUACCAGUUUGAGUCAAGUGCUGAAACCCUCCCUCUUUUUCAGUUCCUAUUACUCUCCCUUGUUUAUGAUAUAAUUUCCUUAAGUAUUCCUCUUCAUGCAUUUAGAACCGAUUGAACUCUGUUAUAAUUUUUGUUUCAACCAAACACAAUUUAGAAAAUUCAAGAAGUCUAUUGUAUUCAUCUUUUUUAUAUUCUUCCCAUUGUUCUUUUUCCCUCCCAGAAGCUUCUUUCUGUUCAAGAAUUUUCUUUAGGUGUUUUAGACUAUGUCUGCAGACCACAGAUUCUCUUAGUUUUCCUCAUCUUAAAAUAUAUCUCUUUACUUAUGAAGGAUAUUUUCACUGGAUACAGGAGUCUGGGUCAACGGUUCUUUUCUUUCAGCACUUGGAAAAUGUGGUGCCACUUCCUUUGGGCCUCUGUGGUUUUUGAUGAGAAAUUCUCUGUCAUUCAAAUUGUUCCCCCCCCUUAAGGUAAGGUAUUGUUUCUCUCUGCUUUCAAGAACUUCUUUGUGGGGGGCGCCUGGGUGGCUCAGUUGGUUAAGCAUCCAACUCUUGAUUCCAGCUCAGGUCAUGAUCUCAGAGUCUUGAGAUUGAGCCCAGUGUCAGGCGGUGUGCUCAGUGGGGAGUCUGCUUGAGAUUCUCUCUCUCCCUGUCCCUCUGCCCCUCCCCACCAUGCAUACACUCUCUUUCUCUCUAAAAUAAAUAAAUAAAUCUUUAGAAAAAAGAAUUUUUUUUUGUCUUUAGUUUUUAGAAGUUUGACUAUGAUAUGUCUUGGUAUGGUUUUCUCUGGGUUUAUCCUGUUUAGGCUCCAUUCAGCUUCUCAGAUCUGUAAAUUUAUGUCUUUUGCUGAAGUUUGGAAAUUUCCAGCCAUAUUUCUUCUAAUGCCUUUUCAGCCCUUUUCCUCUCCUUUGGGGACUCUGGUGACAUGAAUGUUAGAUCUUACAGGAUAGUCCCACAGGUCCCUGAGGCUCUGUUCAUUUUUUUUUUUUUUAUUCUAUUUUCUUUCUUGUUUAGACUGGGUACUUUCUAUUGUUUUAUGCUCAAGUUUAUUUAUCCUUUCCUUUGCCCUUUCCAUUCUGUUGUCAAGCCCAUCUGUUAAGUAUUUAAAAUUUUGGUAAUCAUCUAUUUUUCAGUCCCCAAAUUUCCAUUUAGAGAAUUUACAUGCUUGCAUCUUCUAUUUCUUGGUUGAGACCUUUCUUUUUUGUAAGUGGGUUUGUAAUUGCUCAUUGGAGCAUUUUUAUGAUGGCUGUUUUAAAUUCCUUGUCACAUAAUUCUAACAUUUGUAUUGUCUUGGUGUUGGUGUGUAUUGAAUGUCUUUUUUCACUCAUUGUGAUUUUCCUGCUUCUUGGAGUGGUAAGUGCUUUUUGUUUGUGUCCUGAACCUGGAUAUUGUGUUACCAGACUCUGCCUUUUAUUUAAAUCUUCUUUUUUAGCAAGUUUCCACUGACACUGCAUGGGUCAAGGUGAGGCAGAGCUCUGCCCCACUGGAUGGUGGUGAAAAUUGUGGUUUCCCAUCCCCCUUCCUCUGACAUUGGGGGAGGGGGAGGUGCCACCUCAUCACUACUGGGUGGAACAGAGAAAGUGUUUAUACUCCGUCUUGGUCUGGAGAUCUAAUCUUAGAAGAAAAGAAUCCUCCAUCCCAAAGCACAAAGAGAAGGAUUAGUCUUGACCACUGCCAAUGCCCCAGCAGCAGCAGCAGCUCAGUGGACAGACCACCCAGAUGGGAGCAGAGACUGUUUGCUAAGCAGAGAGCUCUCAGCUUUUGACUCAUAACACAGACUUGAUCCAUUCAGUAUGUUUUCAACUGUUCAGCCAUUUUAUUCACUAGAUUUUGUUUUGCAGAAACAAGCCCCCUCCUUCUAAAAGUGAAGAUUUGCCAUUGUAAGAUUUAAAAGAAAAAAAGUCCUACUGACCUUGAAAACUUUUCUAGAAGCAAAGUUAUAGCACUGUAGUUAGAGUGCAUACUGCCCUCCAAGAGAACUUAUUUAUUUGGGGUAGCACUGCUGAAGGUAUUUUUUAUCAAACAAAACAAAACAGAAACAAGUCACCUUCCUUCAGACAUAAUCUCUCCCCUCUACCUUCACUGGGUCUCAGGGACUCCUGGGGACUUCUGUGUUAUUAUAACUUCCUGGAGAAAGGCCAGGCUUUGGGCUCCAAUAAAUCAACAAAAAUGUGUUAUAUCAAUGGAUGCACAACAUUGGCUUUAGCCCUGGAAGUUUUGUUAAGGAUUCAGUGACCAGUUUCACUUGCAAAUAACAAUUAGUUACCCAACACCUACAGGCUAAAUUUAACAACAAGUACAACAUUUCUGCCAAUGUUUUCUUUUUUAAACCUUCAUUCCUUUACUCAUUCAACAAAUAUUUACUGAACACGUAUUUUGUGCCAGGCACUGCUCUAGGUGCUGGAGAUAAAGCACCAAAGAAAACAAACAGAACUCUGCCUUCAUGUUGGCUGACAUUCUAUUGGGAAGACAUAUGAUAAACGUAGUAAGUAAAUGAAAUACAUAGCACGUUGGAAGGUGAUAAGUGCUCUGGAGGGAAAUGAAGCAGGAAGGGAAGUGGGAGUGCCUGUAGGUCGGGUUGCAUUACAAUAGUGUGGUUAGGGAAAGCCUCAUUGAGGGAGUGACAUUUGAACAAGAACUUGAAGGAGGGACAAGCCAGGUAGGGAGGGAGACAUUUGGAUUGCAGGGCCAAGACACUCCACACAGUAGUGACAGCCCUGAGAUGAGAGUAUGCCUGGUUUGAGGAAUGCCAAGGAGGCAGAGAAGACUACACUCGGUAGACUACCAGUCAGGUCAAGUAAAGACAAGUCUUGCAAGUGAAGUCUUCCCGGGAACCGGCCAGGUGUGGGAAUGGGGGCCAGGCCAUUGCUUUUUGCUGAGAUUGCAGGCUGCUGGUUUUCAAGGCUACUAUGAAACUGGGGAAUGGGGGAUGAGAAUCAGUUAAGUUACAACACCAUAAAGCUCAGUGUUCUUACUGAGAUUCUGCCUUUUUUUUUUUUCUUCCAGUAAACUCUCCUCAAUUGCGGCAAGUCCUUUGGUUAAUUUUCUGAGUUCUGUAAAAGUUGAUUCUGCUGAUUUUGGCCACAGUUCUCAUUGUUUUUACAGAGGAGAGGAUUUUCAGAGGUCUUCACUCCAUCAUUCCCGCUGCCAUCGCUCUUGAAAGGACACUUGAGGCUCGAAAUCGACAUAAACCAAGUUGACUCUGGGAACGUACCCAGAGUUUUCAGUGGACAUGCAGUUUGGUUGGACCAGGGGCCCCAUGCUGCAGGAGAGUGGGAAGAAGGCAGAACAGACAGCUUGAAGCUGUUUUCAAACUGGCAUUCAAAGUUUUUGAGGAGAAAAGUGAACAUGGUGAAAAUAAUGUUUUAAGAUUAAUCCGGCAGGGAGUCUAGGAGGUGAGCAAGAAUAGAAGCAAGAAGACCAGUUCCUUUGGUCGGAAGGGAAUAAUUGUGUACCUGGGAGAAGCGAUAAGAAUAGGUUGGUGUGAGAGCUUUCUGAAGGAAGCUUCUGUGGAAUGGCCAACGACUGGUUAUAGGGGAAAGCUUCAAAGUACAUGUGUGCAUAUAAUUGUUUUCUGGAGUUAUUGCUAGUGAGAUGCCAACCCCUCAAGUUUUCUGCCUGCUAGCCCAGAAGUUAUAUAGCUCCCAAGGGGGUCCUUCUGGCUUCCCCCUCUUAUUCCACUUGCCCCCCAUGAAUGACCCUCCCAGUGAAAUAGUGGAGUAUCUUGAAGUUCAUGGCCAGUAAUUUCCCCCAGUGGUCUGCUCCUGGGUGGGGAGGCAGAGUUGGUGUUCACACAGCCAGGCUUGACUGUAAGCACAUGAAAUUCUUGAAUCAUAGGGGCCCCUAAUUUAAAAAAAAAAAUCAAUAUGUUUGUCAUCCAUUUGCUGGUGGGGGGCACUGUGCUGAGCAAAAGAGGAACCUGGCACUUUCCUUCUGGGUUAUCACUGAUAACCAGAACCUCUUUUCUAGGUACACUGGCCCAAAGGUAAGGGGGUGUGUGGGGGGCGGGAUCUGAAAUCAGACACAGCAGGUGCUGAGAUUCCUCCCCGCCCCUCCCGUGCUGCUCUGUCUCCCAAAUGGUGGAUCCAAACCCUUCUUUAGGUAUCUCCAGACAUUUGGAUCUUUCAGACUAUCAGAGACACACCUCAAGUUCUGGGCCAGAUCAGGCCAACAUUAACCUUAGAAGUGGGGAGACUGAUUAAGUCAGACACAAAGUAUUUCCCAAAGUGUAUUCCAUGGAAUUCUGGUCUCAUGAGUGUCUCCUCAGAAAGAGGUCUAACAAGCUGAGGAAAUGCUCCAUUCUCUAUUCCCUGUUAUAUGAGUUACAGUGUCACAGUGCAUGUUGGUCUUGGAAAGCUCUGAGAAGUCCUAUAAUAAGAAACUUUCAAUCUAUUUAACUUAGCAUUUCCUAGUCCUCACUGACCAUAGAACUCGUUUUCCUUUGGACAAUCCACUUUGGAGCCAGGCCUUUAGCAAGUGUCCCUUACUCUCUUCCCCUAUCUUUCUCUGGUCAGACACAAUAUGGCAGCCGUUCACAUCCUUGUUCUGGGGGCUUUAAUCAGUGCAGACCCUUGAAAAAAUGAGGACUUCAGUUCGGCACAUGGCUGCCACUCAGACAGCCCAGAUGGGACAAAUCUGCUCUGCCAAAUUGUCCCCGAAGGUCCUGAAAGCUUAGAGUUUCCUAGAGACUUAGAAGCUCCAACUGCUAUCUUAUCUCAGACCUUCCUCUAGGGUCCUCAGUGUAAAGUGGGGUAAAUAGUAACUACUAAAUUUGCGGGAUUGUGGUGAAGUUAUUUAAUACAUGAUCAUGUAUGUCAAGGGCUCAGGACGGUUCCUGACACACAGUGAGCUCUGUACGUGUUCGCAAGUCUUGGUCUGAGGACCUUUUCUUUCCUUUUCUUUUUUCCUUUUCUUUUCCUUUCCUUUCCUUUCUUUUUUCUUCUCUUGCCUGAGGACAUUUGUUAAUGAACUUUUUUUGUAUUCAUUAUUGUUAAAUUAUGAUUAUUAUAUAAUGUUAGCUGGAUCUAUUCUUCUUCUUCUUCUUCUUCUUUUUUGUAU